rnacentral:rRNA from 1 species
AUGCAGUCGAGCGGUAGAGAGAAGCUUGCUUCUCUUGAGAGCGGCGGACGGGUGAGUAAUGCCUAGGAAUCUGCCUGGUAGUGGGGGAUAACGUUCGGAAACGGACGCUAAUACCGCAUACGUCCUACGGGAGAAAGCAGGGGACCUUCGGGCCUUGCGCUAUCAGAUGAGCCUAGGUCGGAUUAGCUAGUUGGUGGGGUAAUGGCUCACCAAGGCGACGAUCCGUAACUGGUCUGAGAGGAUGAUCAGUCACACUGGAACUGAGACACGGUCCAGACUCCUACGGGAGGCAGCAGUGGGGAAUAUUGGACAAUGGGCGAAAGCCUGAUCCAGCCAUGCCGCGUGUGUGAAGAAGGUCUUCG